rnacentral:lncRNA from 1 species
UGAUUAACAUAUUUGUAUCUAGCACUCCCUUAGUCAAUGAGUACACUUACAUAGCACCAUGACAGUGCAUUUGAUUUUUGGACAUUGGGUUGUGUGAGGGACCAGGAUUUUGCCCUUCAAAAUCACAAACAUCCUGGCUCAGAAGACAUUCAAUUUACUUGAGAAAGCAAGCAAAGAGUUUUCACGGAUUAAAGAUAUCAAUCAGAUUAAAGGAACGAAUUGGUUCGAAAGAAGGAUUAAAAGUACCAAUUGGAUUCAAAGGAUUAAAACUACCAAUUGGAUUGAUUGUAUGGAUUUGAUAUCAGAUUAAUCGAUUAAACAACGAAAUCCUGUAGAGGCCUUUGUUCGCUUGUCUUUUGUUGUCGACCUCACUACAGCCACA